UACGUAGGGGGCGAGCGUUGUCCGGAAUGACUGGGCGUAAAGGGCGCGUAGACGGUUGUCUAAGUCUGGAGUGAAAGUCCUGCUUUUAAGGUGGGAAUUGCUUUGGAGACUGGAUGACUUGAGUGCGGAAGAGGUAAGUGGAAUUCCCAGUGUAGCGGUGAAAUGCGUAGAGAUUGGGAAGAACACCAGUGGCGAAGGCGACUUACUGGGCCGUAACUGACGUUGAUGCGCGAAAGCGUGGGGAGCGAACAGGAUUAGAUACCCUGGUAGUCCACGCGGUAAACGAUGAGUGCUAGGUGUAGCGGGUAUCGACCCCUGCUGUGCCGGAGUUAACACAAUAAGCACUCCGCCUGGGGAGUACGGCCGCAAGGUUGAA
rnacentral:rRNA from 1 species